rnacentral:tRNA from 1 species
GGGCGCAUAGCUCAGGGGUAGAGCGCUACCUUGACAUGGUAGAGGUCCCAGGUUCGAAACCCGGUGCGCCCACCA